UGAGCAAUCUGCCCUUCUCUUCGGAAUAAGCGUUGGAACGACGUCUAAUGCCGAAUACGACCUCCUUUCGCAUGAUCGGAGGUGGAAAGCUCCGGCGGAGAAGGAUGAGCCCGCGGCCUAUCAGCUAGUUGGUGUGGGUAAUGGCCCACCAAGGCGACGACGGGUAGCCGGCCUGAGAGGGUGACCCGGCCACACUGGGACUGAGACACGGCCCAGACUCCUACGGGAGGNAGCG
rnacentral:rRNA from 1 species